rnacentral:rRNA from 1 species
UACGUAGGGCGCAAGCGUUGUCCGGAAUUAUUGGGCGUAAAGAGCUCGUAGGCGGCCUGUCGCGUCCGCUGUGAAAUCCCGGGGCUUAACCCCGGGUCUGCAGUGGAUACGGGCAGGCUAGAGGCAGGCAGGGGAGAACGGAAUUCCCGGUGUAGCGGUGAAAUGCGCAGAUAUCAGGAAGAACACCUAUGGCGAAGGCAGCACUCUGGGACGGUACUGACGCUGAGACGCGAAAGCGUGGGGAGCGAACAGG